UAUAGCAUAACCAAAUCCUUUUUGAAGUUGGGAGAAAAUGUGGUCUCAAAUGGCCUCUCUUAGUACUCUCGCACUUGUAUUGGCUUUACUCUCUCUGAGCUUGCCAUCUCAAACCUCAGCAGACAAAGAUGGUUAUUCAUAUCCUCCACCGCCACAAAAGAAGCCCUAUUACUACCACUCUCCACCACCCCCACCCUCUAAGAAACCUUACUAUUACCACUCUCCUCCACCACCAGUGUACUCACCUCCCAAGCAUCCUUACCAUUAUUCUUCACCACCACCACCACCUAAGAAACCUUACAAACCUCCAUACAAGUACACUUCUCCUCCUCCACCACCUAAGAAACCAUAUAAGUAUCCAUCUCCCCCUCAUCACUACUAGAUAGUCACUUAGUAUACCAUCCAACGGUAAGCUUCAAAGAUCUGAAGAACAUGUGCAAAUAAAGGAGAUGGAUGGAUGGAAGAAGCACCAAAUAGUUUAUACAGUGAAGAGUGGAACAUGUUUUGUGAAAGUAGUGUUAAUUUGCUUUCAACUUCAUUUAUUUUGUAGUAUUUGUACUCAAAGUUUUAAGGCACAUGUUCACUUCUGAUUCAUGUAUCUCGUUGUCCUGCUUGUGUUGUGGUUUUCUAACUGCUGGAUAUGCAGAGACAACUUUUACGCCAUUUAUAUAAUGUAAUAAAUAAAUACUUUGAAUUGUGCUUC